rnacentral:rRNA from 1 species
CAUUACCGAGUUUACAACUCCCAAACCCAAUGUGAACGUUACCAAACUGUUGCCUCGGCGGGAUCUCUGCCCCGGGUGCGUCGCAGCCCCGGACCAAGGCGCCCGCCGGAGGACCAACCAAAACUCUUAUUGUAUACCCCCUCGCGGGUUUUUUACUAUCUGAGCCAUCUCGGCGCCCCUCGUGGGCGUUUCGAAAAUGAAUCAAAACUUUCAACAACGGAUCUCUUGGUUCUGGCAUCGAUGAAGAACGCAGCGAAAUGCGAUAAGUAAUGUGAAUUGCAGAAUUCAGUGAAUCAUCGAAUCUUUGAACGCACAUUGCGCCCGCCAGUAUUCUGGCGGGCAUGCCUGUCCGAGCGUCAUUUCAACCCUCGAACCCCUCCGGGGGGUCGGCGUUGGGGAUCGGCCCUUUACGGGGCCGGCCCCGAAAUACAGUGGCGGUCUCGCCGCAGCCUCUCCUGCGCAGUAGUUUGCACACUCGCAUCGGGAGCGCGGCGCGUCCAAUGCCGUAAAACACCCAACUUUCUGAAAUGUUGACCUCGGAUCAGGUAGGAAUACCCGCUGAACUUAAGCAUAU